rnacentral:misc_RNA from 1 species
UCCGGUUCUUCACCGGCAGUCUCCUUAGAGUCCCCAACAUUACUUGAUGGCAACUAAGGAUAAGGGUUGCGCUCGUUACGGGACUUAACCCAACAUCUCACAACACGAGCUGACGACAGCCAUGCAGCACCUGUCUCUAGGUUCCUUGCGGCACUCCCGCAUCUCUGCAGGAUUCCUAGGAUGUCAAGGGUAGGUAAGGUUCUUCGCGUUGCAUCGAAUUAAACCACAUGCUCCACCGCUUGUGCGGGCCCCCGUCAAUUUCUUUGAGUUUUAAUCUUGCGACCGUACUCCCCAGGCGGAGAACUUAUCGCGUUAGCUUCGAUACUAAUGGGCUCGCGCCCACCAACAUCUAGUUCUCAUCGUUUACAGCGUGGACUAC